UUAAAAUCUUAUUGUUUUCUCAAUUUUUUUUCUUUCUAAUUUUGCUUGUCUUUCUUUGCAAUUUCAGAAAAAGGUAAUAGGAAUGAACAGUACAUUUUGAGGAAUAAUGAGAUGGAGGGAGAAGCACAAUAGCAUUAAAUUGUUGAGGUAUUUUAAUCUAUGUUUCUCACUCUGACAAAAAUGUUGUUGAACACGUGCCGGAUCCUCCAAAUGCACUACCUCUGGAAGAUCCAAUAAACACCCAUCAGCAGCAUUUUUGAAGAGUCCGACAACAUACAUAUUAAG